rnacentral:rRNA from 1 species
CUGCAGCGAUAAUACUUGUUCCCUUCGGGGUGGUAAUAGUAUUUGUGCUGAAACCUAGCUAUUGUAACUCAGUUUCUCUGGGUAUAGCAAUAUACUCAGGGGGAUUGGGCAUCGACCGCUAGCAGGUGCUCGCAAGGGCGCGGGAAAGUGAGCUAACAAGGUUUUCAUAAGGCCUUUCAGGUUUGCUUUUUCUAGUGGCCAGGCAGAGGUGUUUCUUACCUAUCAGCUCGUUGUUUGUUUAAAGGACAAACAAGGCUUUGACGGGUACGGGGAAUCAGUGUUCGAUUCCGGAGAGGGAGCCUGAGAGAUCGCUACCACAUCUAAGGACGGCAGCAGGCGCGCAAAUUACCCAAUCCCAACACGGGGAGGUAGUGACAAGAUAUAGUGUCUCAUCACCUUCGGUGGUGAGGUAUUAUCAUUUGAUAAUUUUCCAUGAUUUGGGUGUAGAUAACCCUUAGAGCAGCCAUUGGAGGAAAAGUCUGGUGCCAGCACCCGCGGUAAUUCCAGCUCCAAGAGCGUAUAUUAAUACUGCUGUAGUUAAAACGCCCGUAGUAAACCUAAGAGUGUUUACGGGGUAACUAGUUCCAUCAGGAGAUGGUUGGAGGGAGCUUAUAACUCCCUCUUGCCUACUCUUGGUGAACUUUAGCUGGGCAGGACUUCUGGUCCUCGUCUGGCAGUUGCCUCGUAUUCACUCGUCCACGGUUCAUCCGUGAGGCCCCUUUGGGUUGCAACUGUAAAUAAAUCGUUGUGCUUAAAGCGGGCUAUGAUACUCUGCCAGAGCGAUUUAGCAUGGGACUGCAG